GGGGAAUUUUCCGCAAUGGGCGAAAGCCUGACGGAGCAAGACCGCGUGAGGGAGGAAGGCUCUUGGGUUGUAAACCUCUUUUAUUAGGGAAGAAGUUCUGACGGUACCUAAUGAAUCAGCAUCGGCUAACUCCGUGCCAGCAGCCGCGGUAAUACGGGGGAUGCAAGCGUUAUCCGGAAUUAUUGGGCGUAAAGCGUCCGCAGGUGGCCUUUCAAGUCUGCUGUUAAAAACCAGGGCUUAACCCUGGGUCGGCGGUGGAAACUGAAAAGCUAGAGUCCGGUAGGGGUAGAGGGAAUUUCCAGUGUAGCGGUGAAAUGCGUAGAUAUUGGAAAGAACACCAGUGGCGAAGGCGCUCUACUAGGCCGGUACUGACACUCAGUGACGAAAGCUAGGGGAGCGAAAGGGAUUAGAUACCCCUGUAGUCCUAGCUGUAAACGAUGGAUACUAGGCGUAGUCUGUAUCGACCCGGACUGUGCCGAAGCUAACGCGUUAAGUAUCCCGCCUGGGGAGUACGCACGCAAGUGUGAAACUCAAAGGAAUUGACGGGGGCCCGCACAAGCGGUGGAGUAUGUGGUUUAAUUCGAUGCAACGCGAAGAACCUUACCAGGACUUGACAUGUCGCGAAUCUCGGUGAAAGCUGAGAGUGCCUUCGGGAGCGCGAGCACAGGUGGUGCAUGGCUGUCGUCAGCUCGUGUCGUGAGAUGUUGGGUUAAGUCCCGCAACGAGCGCAACCCUCGUUUUUAGUUGCCAUCAUUAAGUUGGGCACUCUAGAGAGACUGCCGGUGACAAACCGGAGGAAGGUGGGGAUGACGUCAAGUCAGCAUGCCCCUUACGUUCUGGGCUACACACGUACUACAAUGGUCGGGACAACGGGCAGCAAACUCGCGAGAGUAAGCGAAUCUCAUCAAACCCGGCCUCAGUUCAGAUUGCAGGCUGCAACUCGCCUGCAUGAAGGAGGAAUCGCUAGUAAUCGUCGGUCAGCAUACGGCGGUGAAUUCGUUCCCGGGCCUUGUACACACCGCCCGUCACACCAUGGAAGCUGGCCACGCCCGAAGUCGUUACCCUAACCCGUAAGGGAGGGGGAUGCCUAAGGCAGGGCUAGUGACUGGGGUGAAGUCGUAACAAGGUAGCCGUACCGGAAGGUGUGGCUGGAUCACCUCCU
rnacentral:rRNA from 1 species